UACGUAGGGUGCGAGCGUUAAUCGGAAUUACUGGGCGUAAAGCGUGCGCAGGCGGUUAUAUAAGACAGUUGUGAAAGCCCUGGGCUCAACCUGGGAAUGGCAGUGGAUACUGGAAAGCUAGAGUGCGGUAGAGGGUAGUGGAAUUCCCGGUGUAGCAGUGAAAUGCGUAGAGAUCGGGAGGAACACCAGUGGCGAAGGCGGCUACCUGGACCAGCACUGACACUGAGGCACGAAAGCGUGGGGAGCAAACAGG
rnacentral:rRNA from 1 species